UACGGAGGGUGCAAGCGUUGUUCGGAAUUACUGGGCGUAAAGCGCACGUAGGCGGAUACUUAAGUUAGGGGUGAAAUCCCAGGGCUCAACCCUGGAACUGCCUUUAAUACUGGGUAUCUUGAGUUCGAGAGAGGUGAGUGGAAUUCCGAGUGUAGAGGUGAAAUUCGUAGAUAUUCGGAGGAACACCAGUGGCGAAGGCGGCUCACUGGCUCGAUACUGACGCUGAGGCGCGAAAGCGUGGGGAGCAAACAGG
rnacentral:rRNA from 1 species